rnacentral:lncRNA from 12 species
CCCCCCCCCCCCCCCCCCCCCCCCCCCCCCCCCCCCCCCCCCCCCCCCCCCCCCCCCCCCCCCCCCCCCGGAGCCUUACUGGGAAUGGUGUCACUGGUCAUACUGGGGACACUGGGGACACUGGGAGCACCGGGAUCCUUACUGGGAAUGGUGUCACUGGUCAUACUGGUCAUACUGGGGACACUGGGAGCACUGGGGGCCUUACUGGGCGUACUGGGGAUACUGGGGGCACCAGGAACCUUACUGGGAAUGGUGUCACUGGGGGCACUGGUCAUACUGGGGACACUGGGGACACCGGGGGCACCGGGAUCCUUACUGGGAAUGGUGUCACUGGUCAUACUGGUCAUACUGGAGACACUGGGAACACUGGGGGCACUGGGGACACUGGUCAUACUGGUGGGACUGGAAUCCUUACUGGGACCGGUGUCACUGGUGAAACUGGUCAUACUGGUGCCACUGGGGGCGUUGGUGGAACUGGUGAUACUGGUGGCACUGAGAUCCUUACUGGGACUGCAGUCCUUGGUGGCACUGGUCAUACUGGUGGCACUGGUGGUGUUGGAGUUACUGGUGGAACUGGAGUUCUUGAUAUCUUUGGUCUUACUGGUGUCACUGGUGUCACUGGUGUCACUGGUGUCACUGGUGUUACUGGUGUUACUGGUGUCGCUGGUCCCGGUCCCAGCCCAGGGCGUGGCGGUGACGUAAUCGGUGACGUAAUCAGUGACGUCAUCGGCGAUGAUGUAAUCAAUGGGGGGUCCGCGACCUGCGUGACCCCAGAGCCCAGUGAGACCAGUACAGACCAGUAACAGCUCCCAGUAACACCAGUAACAGCUCCCAGUUCCCCAGUACAGACCAGUACAGACCAGUAAUGGCUCCCAGUAACACCAGCAACCCUCCAGUGAGACCAGUGAGACCAGUAAUGGCUCCAAGUGACACCAGUAACCCCUCCCAGUCCCAUCCCAGUAUAACCCAGUCCCAUCCCAAUAUAUCCCAGUAUAUCCCAGUAUAUCCCAGUAUGUCCCAGUCCCCUCCCAGUCCCUCCCAGCGUGUCCCAGUCCCCCCCCCCCCCCCCCCCCCCCCCCCCCCCCCCCCCCCCCCCCCCCCCCCCCCCCCCCCCCCCCCCCCCCC